rnacentral:rRNA from 1 species
CAGUCGCCGCGGGAACACGUAGGGUGCGAGCGUUAAUCGGAAUUACUGGGCGUAAAGCGUGCACAGGCGGUUGUGUAAGACAGGUGUGAAAUCCCCGGGCUUAACCUGGGAACUGCGCUUGUGACUGCACAGCUAGAGUAUGGCAGAGGGGGGUGGAAUUCCACGUGUAGCAGUGAAAUGCGUAGAGAUGUGGAGGAACACCGAUGGCGAAGGCAGCCCCCUGGGCCAAUACUGACGCUCAUGCACGAAAGCGUGGGGAGCAAACAGGAUUAGAUACCCGGUAGUCCCUGUCUCUUAUACA